UAUAUACCUAUAAUCUGACAUUUAUACAGGCGUAUAUACAUAAUACAUAUAAAAUGUGUGUGUGUAUAUAUAUAUAUAUGUACAUAUAAUAUAUACAUAUAUAAACAUACAUAUUAACAUUUGUCGAAUCUUUCUUUCUGCGAGGUUAAUGAUGUAACAGAAAGAAAGAAAAAGAGAGAGAGAGAGAGAGAGAGAGAGAGAGAGAGAGAGAGAUCAUUCGAAAUCAAAAGUCGAGUCGAUUCAGGUUCCACAUAAAACGUGACACGAACGUCGUCUCUUAACUUCGUCUCAUCUGUUAGUUGCCAAUCGCGUUGGAAUAAUUUAUGAAUUUAUCAUAGAGCGCCUUUAUAAUAUUUUCUUUUUUUUUUUUUUCUUCUUCGUGUGUAACGUACGUACGUGUACUUAUGUAUGCAUAUACGAGUGUGCGUGUGGAUAUAUAAUACAACGACGUAAAUUAAGAAAAAAACGAUGACGACGCCAACGAUGCCGACGACGACGCUGACGACGACGCUGACGACGACGUUGACGACGACGACGACGGUCACGACGAAGAAGACAACGACAAAGACGAACCAUGAGGAUGAAAGAAGCAGCAGAGAGUGCCUUCAGUGAUCACAGGUACUACACGCGCAUCGCGUCAGCAUUGUCAUCAGUAACUAACCACCACUACCAGUAUUACCAACAUCAGCAUCAGCAUCUGCAGUAGCAGCAACAGUAGCAGUAUCAGCAGUCAACGACUACAACAACAAUAUCAAAAGAGCUGCUUAAAAGUUCGCGUCCCUUUUAAAAUCUACGAUAAUAUAUCGUUUAUACGUUAUCA